AUAAAUAAGAAUAUGAUGUUGGUUCAGAUUAAGCGCUAAAUAAGGACAUGACACAUGCGAAUCAUACGUUUAUUAUUGAUAAGAUAAUAAAUAUGUGGUGUAAACGUGAGUAAUUUUAUUAGGAAUAAAUGAACUAUAGAAUAAGUUAAAUACUUAAUAAAUUUUAUAUAAAAAUAAUAAUUAUAUAAUAAUAAAGGAUAUAUAUAUAUAUAUUUAUCUAUAGUCAAGCCAAUAAUGGUUUAGGUAGUAGGUUUAUUAAGAGUUAAACCUAGCCAACGAUCCAUAAUCGUUAAUGAAAGUUAGAACGAUCACGUUGACUCUGAAAUAUAGUCAAUAUCUAUAAGAUACAGCAGUGAGGAAUAUUGGACAAUGAUCGAAAGAUUGAUCCAGUUACUUAUUAGGAUGAUAUAUAAAAAAUUUAUCUAUAAAAAUAUAUAAAUAAUAUAUAUAUAUAUAAAUUGAUUAAAAAUAAAAUCCAUAAAUAAUUAAAAUAAUGAUAUUAAUUACCAUAUAAUAAAAGUAUGGAUAUAUAAUAAUUAUAAUAUUAAUUUAUUAUAAUAAAUUAUAUAUUUUAAUAGUCCUGACUAAUAUUUGUGCCAGCAGUCGCGGUAACACAAAGAGGGCGAGCGUUAAUCAUAAUGGUUUAAAGGAUCCGUAGAAUGAAUUAUAUAAUUUAGAGUUAAUAAAUUUAAUUAAAGAAUUAUAAUAGUAAAGAUGAAAUAAUAAUAAUAAUUAUAAGACUAAUAUAUGUGAAAAUAUUAAUUAAAUAUUAACUGACAUUGAGGGAUUAAAACUAGAGUAGCGAAACGGAUUCGAUACCCGUGUAGUUCUAGUAGUAAACUAUGAAUACAAUUAUUUAUAAUAAAUAUAUAUAUAUAUAAAUAAUAAAUGAAAAUGAAAGUAUUCCACCUGAAGAGUACGUUAGCAAUAAUGAAACUCAAAACAAUAGACGGUUACAGACUUAAGCAGUGGAGCAUGUUAUUUAAUUCGAUAAUCCACGACUAACCUUACCAUAUUUUGAAUAUUAUAAUAAUUAUUAUAAAUUAUUAUAUUACAGGCGUUACAUUGUUGUCUUUAGUUCGUGCUGCAAAGUUUUAGAUUAAGUUCAUAAACGAACAAAACUCCAUAUAUAUAAUCUUAAUUAUAUAUAAUUUUAUAUUAUUUAUUAAUAUAAAGAAAGGAAUUAAGACAAAUCAUAAUGAUCCUUAUAAUAUGGGUAAUAGACGUGCUAUAAUAAAAUGAUAAUAAAAUUAUAUAAAAUAUAUAAAAAAAUAUAUUUAAUUAAUAAUAUAAAACAUUUUAACUUUUAAUAUAUUUUUAUAUUAUAUAUUAAUAUGAAUUAUAAUCUGAAAUUCGAUUAUAUGAAAAAAGAAUUGCUAGUAAUACGUAAAUUAGUAUGUUACGGUGAAUAUUCUAACUGUUUCGCACUAAUCACUCAUCACGCGUUGAAACAUAUUAUUAUCUUAUUAUUUAUUAAUAUCUCUUAAUUAUAUUAUAUAAUUAAUUAAUAUUUAUUUAUAUCAGAAAUAAUAUGAAUUAAUGCGAAGUUGAAAUACAGUUACCGUAGGGGAACCUGCGGUGGGCUUAUAAAUAUC
rnacentral:ncRNA from 1 species